rnacentral:rRNA from 1 species
AUUGAACGCUGGCGGCAGGCCUAACACAUGCCAGUCGAGCGGAUGAAGGGAGCUUGCUCCUGGAUUCAGCGGCGGACGGGUGAGUAAUGCCUAGGAAUCUGCCUGGUAGUGGGGGAUAACGUCCGGAAACGGGCGCUAAUACCGCAUACGUCCUGAGGGAGAAAGUGGGGGAUAUUCGGACCUCACGCUAUCAGAUGAGCCUAGGUCGGAUUAGCUAGUUGGUGGGGUAAAGGCCUACCAAGGCGACGAUCCGUAACUGGUCUGAGAGGAUGAUCAGUCACACUGGAACUGAGACACGGUCCAGACUCCUACGGGAGGCAGCAGUGGGGAAUAUUGGACAAUGGGCGAAAGCCUGAUCCAGCCAUGCCGCGUGUGUGAAGAAGGUCUUCGGAUUGUAAAGCACUUUAAGUUGGGAGGAAGGGCAGUAAGUUAAUACCUUGCUGUUUUGACGUUACCAACAGAAUAAGCACCGGCUAACUUCGUG